rnacentral:hammerhead_ribozyme from 1 species
AUUCAGCUGACGAGUCCCGAAUAAGACGAAACGCCCGUCAUGGAU